GUAAGCUAUAGAGUAUCUUCAGUUGAAUAUAAGCAACAGCACUGCACGUCAGUACUAUAGUCUUGCAGUUAAACUACACUACACUGACUAGUCUGCCAGUCCCAAAGUCUCGUGUUUAUUCUAAACUGUUGUGUUUUUCCGCCUUCACUCGACACAGUUUGGCCCGUUCUCUCKAUYAUCGUCAUGAAUCGCCUGGUUUGUCUUSUGYUUCUCGUCUUCACCAUCAACAGUGUUCUACAUGUUACAACUGGCUAUAAAACKGUUUGUUGUAACACAGCUAAAUGCAGAUGGACUGUGUGUUUUAAGCCUGGCAGAGAUACUCCGGACAACAAUGACGAUAACAGAUCUAAUCAACUAAAGUGGCAUGAAAACAUGUCGUGCGAAGAGGCCGAAGCAGCAUUUUGCCAUAAAUGACUUCACAUUUUCCAUAGCAACCUACACGAAGUAACAAUGGUUACUAAACGAAAGUCAUUGAAAAGCUUGAUAAAUUCUUAGUGAAAGAUGUGAAAAUUAACACUGCGAUUAACUUAGUAAUAAAUUAUACAACUUAGCCAGAAUAAAAUUGCUUCAUUGAUCAGGUA